ACUUUUAAAGGAUAGCAGUUAUCCGU
rnacentral:tRNA from 1 species